GACGAACGCUGGCGGCGUGCUUAACACAUGCAAGUCGAACGGAAAGGCCUGCUUUCCCUUGUGGAUUGCGGGUACUCGAGUGGCGAACGGGUGAGUAACACGUGAGUGAUCUGCCCCCAACUUGGGUAUAAGCCUGGGAAACUGGGUCUAAUUCCCGAUAGGACUGCAGGGUGGUGCCUGUGGUGGAAAACGAUUUUCUAGUGGUUGGGGAUGAGCUCGCGGCCUAUCAGCUUGUUGGUGGGGUAAUGGCCUACCAAGGCGGCGACGGGUAGCCGGCCUGAGAGGGUGGGCGGCCACAUUGGGACUGAGAUACGGCCCAGAACCCUACGGGAGGCAGCAGUGGGGAAUAUUACACGAUGGGCGGAAGCCUGAUGCAGCGACGCCGCGUGGGGGAUGGCGGCCUUCGGGUUGUAAACUCCUUUCGACCGCGAGGAAGCCACCUGGUUGGAAGGGUGGUGACGGUAGUGGUAGAAGAAGCACCGGCUAACUACGUG
rnacentral:rRNA from 1 species